AUUGAACGCUGGCGGCAUGCCUUACACAUGCAAGUCGAACGGUAACAGGUCUUCGGAUGCUGACGAGUGGCGAACGGGUGAGUAAUACAUCGGAACGUGCCUAGUAGUGGUGGAUAACUACUCGAAAGAGUGGCUAAUACCGCAUGAGAUCUACGGAUGAAAGCAGGGGAUCGCAAGACCUUGUGCUACUAGAGCGGCCGAUGGCAGAUUAGGUAGUUGGUGGGAUAAAAGCUUACCAAGCCGACGAUCUGUAGCUGGUCUGAGAGGACGAUCAGCCACACUGGGACUGAGACACGGCCCAGACUCCUACGGGAGGCAGCAGUGGGGAAUUUUGGACAAUGGGCGCAAGCCUGAUCCAGCAGUGCCGCGUGCAGGAUGAAGGCCUUCGGGUUGUAAACUGCUUUUGUACGGAACGAAAAGCCCCGGGUUAAUACCCUGGGGUCAUGACGGUACCGUAAGAAUAAGCACCGGCUAACUACGUGCCAGCCGCCGCGGUAA
rnacentral:rRNA from 1 species